rnacentral:rRNA from 1 species
GAUGAACGCUGGCUACAGGCUUAACACAUGCAAGUCGAGGGGAAACGACGGGGAAGCUUGCUUCCCCGGGCGUCGACCGGCGCACGGGUGAGUAACGCGUAUCCAACCUGCCUCUGACUGAGGGAUAACCCGUCGAAAGUCGGCCUAAUACCUCAUGGCAUCGUCUGCGGGCAUCCAACGACGAUUAAAGAUUUCAUCGGUCAGAGAUGGGGAUGCGUCUGAUUAGCUUGUUGGCGGGGUAACGGCCCACCAAGGCGACGAUCAGUAGGGGUUCUGAGAGGAAGGCCCCCCACAUUGGAACUGAGACACGGUCCAAACUCCUACGGGAGGCAGCAGUGAGGAAUAUUGGUCAAUGGGCGAGAGCCUGAACCAGCCAAGUAGCGUGCAGGAUGACGGCCCUAUGGGUUGUAAACUGCUUUUAUGCGGGGAUAAAGUGAGGGACGUGUCCUUCAUUGCAGGUACCGCAUGAAUAAGGACCGGCUAAUUCCGUG